GCGGCCUGUAGCUUGUCAUGCCGGACGGGUUUUAAAAUUAAAACCUUCUGCCCAACCUGAAAGCUAUGGUCCCUGGCGCUCCGAUCAUACCAGGUGUGCUGGCGUGUCUGAGCCACCUGAAGGUUCUCCCAUACCGCUCAGGUUAUUUCCUCCAGUCGGUUCCGGAACUCCAGCACAAAAGGUAUGAUGGGAGUACCGGUGGUGCUGUGGUCUCCCUCCCAGAGCUCCUUAAUGAAGUCUAGGGGGCCACUGACCCGCCUCCCAACGGGGAGAACCCUGUGGAUUCCUGUGGCACCUCCCGAUAGG